CUUUCAGCCAGGAACAAAAAAGCUCUAGUGUGAUGUUAUUAGCAUUGCAAAACUUCUCAGGGAGGAAGUCAAAGUAUGUGGCUUGGACAAGGGAAGCCAUUGUUUGCAUCCUGUUUCCUAACGACAGUCACUGUUGUUUUCUUUCAACCAUGUCCAUGACCAUUUCCCAAUCUCAAAGCUGCACUCAUCAAUAUUUCUAUAACAACAACUUAAACAACCUUUUUCAGUAAAAAAAAAAAAAGCUGAUAAACCCACUGAUCACCGCGUGCUCAGCACCAAACAGCAGCCAUUGAGGAGCAUUUAGCAACUCAAGAGCCAAAUAUCCUUCUCAGGAGUUGGUGGAGACCGAACCAGAGCUAAAGGAGCAUUGGGCUGCUGUUAAGCGCCCGGGGUUCAGUGUCUCGCUCAAGGACACUGGGGAUUGAACCACCAUGCUUGCGGUUAAAGGACGACUCGCUCUACCCAAUGAGCUACAGCUGCCCCACACUGGCAUGUGUGUGGCAGGGGGCGUGUCUGGCUCCGCCUGCAGCAGCAAAGGAGGCACACCGGUUCCCAAUCAACCUCAUCAACCUCUCCAUAUAAGCCUGGUCUUCACUCCACUACGGCACCAGAUAGUUCCGUCUCAUGCGAUCUUCCGGUCUGCCUUGCUGCUGCUGCUUCCGCGUCCUCAGUGACUGUGUUCCCAUGUGCUUAGUCCUCGUGGUCCAAUUCCUCCGAGCCACGAGCCGGCCAGUUCCCUGCCCUCUUCUGCUUGGGUUUUUGCCUCGUUUUUUAUAAUAAACUCUGUUACCUUUU